CCCCUGACGGGCUGGCUGGCUGGCUGGCUGGCGGGACCGAGCGAGCUCUGCAGGACUCCGCGAAGCCGGAAAACGCGCAGCCCGCUCUUUUGCUCUUCCUCCGGCUGCUGCUGCUGCUGCUUCUCUGGCAAGUCAACAGGAACAAGACUCUGAGUGCUGAUUUCCCAUAAAUGUGAAGCACAACACCCAUCAUUAUGUUUAGCACUAAAAGGUUAAAGAAUAAGUCGCAGUCAAUUGAUAUUUCGGCAUCAGGUUAUGAACCACUGGCAACAGCAGCACAACAUGCACUGCAGCCAACUAAGCCUGCGCAAGUAAUUAGCACAACUACUUCUGAAGAGGAACAGAACAACACCACAAAUACUCAGCGGCGCAAUCCACGGAGGGGUGAGCUGAAGAGAUACUACACCAUUGGAACUGGAAAGCUUAAUCACUGAAGAAAGUGAUGUGUGAAGAAACUAAGCUGAAGAAAAUCAAUUAGAAAUAUGGAAAGGGGGCCUUAAUCUGACUUUUCUGUGACUAGUCGAAAGGUACUGCAGUGGUAUAGAUGUGUACAGGACAGAUCAGUGAUUAUACUUGUAUAAAACAGCACAGCUUGUAUUAUCCUACCAAACUAUCUUACCACACUAAAAUAAAAAAGCAUAUGAAAGUAUUAAAAAUUAGCAAAUGCAGUUUAUUUAGGUUUUGGUCUCCUCAUUUACAGAAAUGUCAUUUACAUCAAAUGUUCCCAAAGCCCAAGACUUCAUAUGUUUAACAUUUUAAAACAUUCUGUAUACAGCCUGGUAGGAUAUGUUCCUUCUAACAAGGUACAAAUUCUACCAUGAAAGUCCUUCCCUUUAUCGUAUGACUGAAACAUAUUUUGGUG